AGUGGAAUGCCUGAACUGAAAGGAUUAUUUUGAUAGAAUAAAGCACGCGGUUACCCGCUUCCAUUA
rnacentral:tRNA from 1 species